UACGUAGGGCGCAAGCGUUGUCCGGAAUUAUUGGGCGUAAAGAGCUCGUAGGUGGCGUGUCGCGUCUGCCGUGAAAGCCCAUGGCUUAACUGUGGGUCUGCGGUGGAUACGGGCAGGCUGGAGGCUGGUAGGGGCAAGCGGAAUUCCUGGUGUAGCGGUGAAAUGCGCAGAUAUCAGGAGGAACACCGGUGGCGAAGGCGGAUCUCUGGGCCUGUCCUGACGCUCAGGCGCGAAAGCUAGGGGAGCAAACAGG
rnacentral:rRNA from 1 species